rnacentral:rRNA from 1 species
ACGGGGUGCAGCAGGCGCGAAACCUCCACAAUGCGCGAAAGCGUGAUGGGGUUAUCCCGAGUGCCGUCCGAUGAGGAUGGCUUUUCAUCGGUGUAAGGAUCCGAUGGAAUAAAGGGGGGGCAAGACUGGUGUCAGCCGCCGCGGUAAUACCAGCCCCCUGAGUGGUAAGGACGAUUAUUUGGCCUAAAGCGUUCGUAGCCGGCUUAUCAAGUCUUUUGUUAAAUCCAACGAUUCAAUCGUUGGGCCGCAAAAGAUACUGUUAUGCUAGAGGACGGGAGAGGUCGACGGUAGUCCAGGGGUAGGGGUGAAAUCCUAUAAUCCUUGGAGGACCACCAGUGGCGAAGGCGGUCGACUAGAACGUGCCUGACGGUGAGGGACGAAAGCUGGGGGAGCGAACCGGAUUAGAUACCCGGGUAGUCCCAGCCGUAAACGAUGCGGGCUAGGUGUUGGGGCAGCCACGAGCUGCUCCAGUGCCGCAGAGAAGUUGUUAAGCCCGCCGCCUGGGGAGUACGGCCGCAAGGCUGAAACUUAAAGGAAUUGGCGGGGGAGCACCACAAGGGGUGAAGGCUGCGGUUUAAUUGGAGUCAACGCCGGGAACCUUACCGGGGCUGACAGCAGAGUGAAGGCCAGACUGAAGAUCUUGCCAGACAAGCUGAGAGGAGGUGCAUGGCCGUCGCCAGUUCGUGCCGUGAGGUGUCCUGUUAAGUCAGGCAACGAACGAGACCCCCGCUUUUAGUUGCCAGCGGAUUCCAACGGAAUGCCGG